CCGGUAAAAAACACCCCAAACGGACGGGCUGUCAGCCGUGUAACGUACGUCUGUUUGUACGCUGAGUUCUGCCAAUUAUAGUUUCUACAGAAAUUCUUUACCUAAAUCUGAAGUUAAACGAAAAAUUACGUUUAUAAUUUUAAAGAAUGAAGUGUCAUUCAUCAUCAUGAUGGUCUCACAGAAAUGGAGAAGGUUGCUCAGCCUACAAGGUUUUUACAAGAAAGUAAUGAUGAUGAGAUACAUGAGCAAAUUAUAUUUUCUGAAAUAGAGGAUGAAGGAUUAGACGAGAGGAUCAGUGAAAUUGAUAGCACAACUCCUUAUCAAAAAGCCCAGAGAAAACAAAAAGGCUUAGGAUGAUAUCAGAACAGAAAUGUUCACUAUAGAACUGAUCAUGGAAGUAGAGAUACUUGUAGCAUACUUCGUCAUGCAAGAACCAUGCAUAUGCAAAAUAAAAGCUAUGGCAUUCUUAGUAAUUGUAGUGUGGACUGUGCAAUCUUCCUCAGAUUGUUCACCUAUGUCAUAUUUCUUUAAUCCUAUCCUUUCUGUUAUGCAAAAUAUAUGUAAUAAAUAAACCAUUGGGUGUGUAGUGGUGGUAUAUUGUUGUCGAUAUUGUUCUUGAAAAAGCCUUUAAUGCAACCAUAACAAAACACCAUUAAUAUUAUAACUA
rnacentral:lncRNA from 1 species